rnacentral:rRNA from 1 species
GACGAACCGUGCAAACGUUGUUCGGAAUCACUGGGCUUAAAGGGCGCGUAGGCGGCUUAUCAAGUCGGGGGUGAAAUACUUCAGCUUAACUGGAGAAGUGCCUUCGAUACUGGUGGGCUUGAGGGAGGUAGGGGUCUGUGGAACUUCUGGUGGAGCGGCGAAAUGCGUUGAUAUCAGAAGGAACGCCGGUGGCGAAAGCGACGGACUGGACCUCUUCUGACGCUGAGGCGCGAAAGCUAGGGGAGCAAACGGG